rnacentral:lncRNA from 1 species
AAAAUGAAUCCUCUCAUUUAGAAGGCAUUAGCAAUCCACAGAUGAAAAAUCUUCCUAGUGAAUACAUUAGCUUUUUUAACACUUUCAAUGUUUCAGACCCAUCUAUGGAUUUCAUAGGAAAGAACACUUAUAUUUAAAAGUUUUCUUCUACAAUUGGACCAUGAGGAUAAAGCAGUCGCACUUCUUCAGAAUGGUGCUGUGUGUAAUCAAGCCUUUCAACCUCAUGAAGCACAUGUUCCAUACAUUCUCCAGUUUUUUAUCGACUAUAAUCUGUAUGGUAUGAGCUUUAUUGAAUUUUCCUCUGUGAAAUAUCGUUUCUCCGAGGAUAACUCAGAUUAUCUAGCAGACAUCAAUGAAGAUUUAUUACUGAAAAAAGUCGCCUGUUCCAGUUUCUCCAAACUCGAAAUUGAUGGGAAAGCUGCAGAUAUUCUUAAUUAUAAAAACAUUACAGGAACGAAUUUGCACAAUCCGGGCAUUGCUUCACUUUGGGAAGAGGAAAGGAGGCGAAGGAAUGCUGAAGAUAAGUCUGAUAUUGCUCCACCAAGUUCUCAAGAGCGCACUUGUAAGCAGGUUGACCGAGCAGAGGCUAUGUACAAAAAUAAACUUCGUCAAAAAUUGCAGAAACUUGGUUUUGACAAAAAGGAGCCAUCUCUGACGUCAUUGUCUGCCAACUAUCCUGCGGAAACUCCGUGCAAUGCUGAUUUAUUGAGUGCCUCUUAUCUGGAGCCAGUUGUUUGUUCACAGUCAAAAAAUUCAAGUACUAUUGGAACUAAUGUGUCUCCGGAAGAAACAAUAGUUGAUGAGGACAUUGUUUUUCAUUUGACCCAACAGAAUGCCUCCGACCUCAUUUCUAAUAGUUUUAACAUGAGUAAGUAAUUGAAAAAAACCUUGAUCCCACCUCAAUUCCUAGCUAAAUCCACAUUUUGCUCAAAGAUUAUCUCUUUUGAGUUAAG